rnacentral:rRNA from 1 species
GACGAACGCUGGCGGCGUGCUUAACACAUGCAAGUCGAACGGAGCGAAUGAAAGCUUGCUUUUAUAAGCUUAGUGGCAAACGGGUGAGUAACACGUAGACAACCUGCCGACAGGAUGGGGACAACAUUCCGAAAGGAAUGCUAAUACCGAAUGAAGUGCAGGGGAGGCAUCUCCCCUGCAUGAAAGAUGGCCUCUUUUUAUGCUAUCACCUGUUGAUGGGUCUGCGUCUGAUUAGCUGGUAGGUGAGGUAACGGCUCACCUAGGCGACGAUCAGUAGCCGGUCUGAGAGGAUGAACGGCCACAUUGGGACUGAGACACGGCCCAGACUCCUACGGGAGGCAGCAGUGGGGAAUCUUCCGCAAUGGGCGCAAGCCUGACGGAGCAACGCCGCGUGAGUGAAGAAGGUCUUCGGAUCGUAAAGCUCUGUUGAUGGGGACGAACGUGCCUAAUGCGAAUAGUUUUAGGCAAUGACGGUACCCAUCGAGGAAGCCACGGC